rnacentral:tRNA from 1 species
UUGGUUAAAGCCAAAUAGAGGCAUAUCACUGUUAAUGAUAGAAUUGAAGCUCAACCUUCUAACCAAG